GAUAAACGUUGGCGGUGUGUCUUAGGUAUGCAAGUCGAGCGAUCAUUUGUUCUGACGCAAGUCAGAAUGGAUGGUAGCGGCGGACGGCUGAGUAACGCGUGGGAACGUGCCCCAUGGCAGGGAACAGCUCGCCGAAAGGCGGGGUAAUACCCUAUACGCUCCAUUCAGUAAUAUGGCUGGAGGAAAGAGCGUAACUGCUCACCAAGGGAUCGGCCUGCGUCCUAUCAGGUAGUUGGUAGGGUAAUGGCCUACCAAGCCUAUGACGGGUAGCUGGUCUGGGAGGACGGACAGCCAGAGGAGCAUUGAGAUACGGGCUCCACUCCUACGGGAGGCAGCAACCAAGAAUCUUGCGCAAUGGGCGAAAGCCUGACGCAGCGACACCGCGUGUGGGAUGACGCCUCUAGGGGUGUAAACCACUGUGAUAGGAGAAGAAGUCCAGCUUGCUGGAUUGACGGUACCCUAUUAGAAAGUAGCUGCUAACUACGUGCCAGAAGCCUCGGUUAGACGUAGGCUACGAACGUUAUCCGAUUUCACUGGGCGUAAAGGGACGCGUAGGCGGCUUAGUAAGUCGUGCUUUAAAUCCCCCUGCUUAACGGGGCGGAUGGGCGCGAUACUAUUGAGCUGGAGUUUUCUGCAGGAGAGCGGAACGUUCUUUGUAGCGGUAAAAUGCGUUGAUAAAGAACGGAACACCAAAGGCGAAGGCAGCUCUCUAGAAGUUUACUGACGCUGAGGCUCUAAAGCCAGGGGAGCAAAAGGGAUUAGAGACCCCUGUAGUCCUGGCCCUAAACGCAUGCCUGCUAGUCUUUCUAUAUCCUGACGCAAGUCAGGAUGGGAGAGGCGUAAGCUAACGCAUUAAGCAGGCCGCCUGGGGAGUACGGUCGCAAGGUUAAAACUCAAACUGAAUAGGCGGGGACCCACCCAACGAGUGGAACAUGUGGUUCAAUUCGAAACAAACCGAAGAACCUCACCAAGGUUUGACAUUCUUGUGAAAUCCUUAUGAAAGUAAGGACCUUUAGACUUUGUCUAAACUAAAGGACAGCUGUUGCAUGGCUGUCGUCAGCUCGUUCCGUGAGGAGU
rnacentral:rRNA from 1 species